rnacentral:tRNA from 1 species
GGUUUCGUGGUGUAGUGGUUAUCACGUCUGCUUCACACGCAGAAGGCCGCGAGUUCAAACCUCGCUGAAACCU